UACUUCCUUCCUCUACGGCUACUGUUUGUGGCAAAUAAUCGCGUCCGAAACGAGUCCGCCCUCGCGGAAGCGAGGUUGGCGAUGCUGGUACCGACCUUUCGUUUUGAUUCCGGUUAACUGUCUUCGAGUUUGAACGAUACGGACACGUCCCCGCGGGAUGUCUGACAGAACGAAUUUGGAAAAGCUGAGCUGUUAUUAUGAGAAUUAUGCGAUCUCGAGUUGGAAGAUACUUGUACAGGAUAUGGCAGACGAAAAUAGAUGGAGCAAGAAUUCGAUUUUCAAAUCCAAUCUCGAACCAAGUGAAAAGGGCUCGACGUUAAAGCGAUACGUACAUGUUGGAUGACUUAGUGGGAAAAUUCUAUUCCGUAGAUAGAAGCAAUUUGCUGGACGUUAAAGAAAAUAAUGGAGUGGCAGAGGACGGACAAUUAUGUUAUUGGAACGAUUCCCUUGUGGACAUUGACGAUCUACUUCCUUCGCUCUAAUUCGCCACCGUUUAGAGAAAAUGAAAAUAACGAUAAAGCAGCAUGGACAAAACGGUUUGCAGAUGCUUUUAGUUUCGUUGUUGGAGGACCUUAAUGUCUCGUUCAGAGGAUUUCAAUUGUUUUCAAUUGCGUUCAAUGAUGAUCUGUGUAACGCUUUAAAUUUGUAUCGAUCGAGAUUACAGAGUGUGGCUGCGACAAACGAAUAUCGUCGCAACUGUGCGAUCAAAUUUUCCAGCAAGAUUUCGGAAGAUUUAGAAUAAAAGUUGACACGAGGUACGACUUGAAUUUCCUAUUUACCCGGUAAUACGCGCGGUCAACGAUUUCACAGUUAUCAAGAUUAUCUUAUCAGAGCAUGCACUUACUACGCUUCGUGUUGUUACACGUGAUAU